AGCCCUGGCGAACGCUUUAGAAGUUGAGCGAAGCUUCACUUUACAGAGCAAAACAUACAAAGUGAGGAAGGAUGGACCUGACUCUUACUUUCCUUUCACGUUUACUGACAUCGCUGGUAUUCAUGAUCAAGUUAACGGAAUACAGAGUGAUGACAUCGUCAAAUUAUUAAACGGCCAUAUCAGCGAUGGUUAUUUUUUUAACCCAGUAAGAUCCAUUACAGAAGACGACAACAAGU